rnacentral:snRNA from 1 species
GGAUGUGAUCUGGCUUUGACAUCUGUCACCACACUGAUUUCCAGGGAUGAUUUGACUUAUCUGCCUGGAGAGGGGAGGGAUCUCUUCCUCUCUCAACUCCCUGUGAAUCCUUCCCAAUGUGCGCGUGCUUGGUAAAGAGAACCACCUUUCCCAAUAAAGGAGGACUAGUCUUAAAGGUGUCUGCUUAACUGUGGUCCCCUGCCAGAACCUUCAGAUAAGCUUUCAAGAAUGUGCUCCAGGGAGUUUGGGAUGUGACAAUCAAAGACUGUAAAAUGAAGAUAAACAAAGCUAU